rnacentral:rRNA from 1 species
GCUUGUCUCAAAGAUUAAGCCAUGCAUGUCUCAGUAUAAGCUUUUACACGGCGAAACUGCGAAUGGCUCAUUAAAGCAGUUAUAAUUUAUUUGAUGGUCACUGCUACAUGGAUAACUGUGGUAAUUCUAGAGCUAAUACAUGCACCAAAACCCAACUUCGCAGAAGGGUUGUAUUUAUUAGAUACAGAACCAACGCAGGCUCCGCCUGGUUGUGGUGAUUCAUGAUAACUCGAUGAAUCGUGUGGCUUGGCCGACGAUGCAUCUUUCAAGUUUCUGACCUAUCAGCUUCCGACGGUAGGGUAUGGGCCUACCGUGGCAAUGACGGGU